rnacentral:rRNA from 1 species
GAUGAACGCUGGCGGCGUGCCUAAUACAUGCAAGUCGAGCGAACAGAUAAGGAGCUUGCUCCUUUGACGUUAGCGGCGGACGGGUGAGUAACACGUGGGUAACCUAUCUAUAAGACUGGAAUAACUCCGGGAAACCGGGGCUAAUGCCGGAUAACAUGUUGAACCGCAUGGUUCUACAGUGAAAGGCGGCCUUGCUGUCACUUAUAGAUGGACCCGCGCCGUAUUAGCUAGUUGGUGAGGUAACGGCUCACCAAGGCAACGAUACGUAGCCGACCUGAGAGGGUGAUCGGCCACACUGGAACUGAGACACGGUCCAGACUCCUACGGGAGGCAGCAGUAGGGAAUCUUCCGCAAUGGGCGAAAGCCUGACGGAGCAACGCCGCGUGAGUGAUGAAGGUCUUCGGAUCGUAAAACUCUGUUAUUAGGGAAGAACAAAUGCGUAAGUAACUGUGCGCGUCUUGACGGUACCUAAUCAGAAAGCCACGGCUAACUACGUG